AGGGUUUGAUCAUGGCUCAGAUUGAACGCUGGCGGCAGGCCUAACACAUGCAAGUCGAGCGGUAGCACAGAGAGCUUGCUCUCGGGUGACGAGCGGCGGACGGGUGAGUAAUGUCUGGGAAACUGCCUGAUGGAGGGGGAUAACUACUGGAAACGGUAGCUAAUACCGCAUAAUGUCGCAAGACCAAAGUGGGGGACCUUCGGGCCUCAUGCCAUCAGAUGUGCCCAGAUGGGAUUAGCUAGUAGGUGGGGUAACGGCUCACCUAGGCGACGAUCCCUAGCUGGUCUGAGAGGAUGACCAGCCACACUGGAACUGAGACACGGUCCAGACUCCUACGGGAGGCAGCAGUGGGGAAUAUUGCACAAUGGGCGCAAGCCUGAUGCAGCCAUGCCGCGUGUGUGAAGAAGGCCUUCGGGUUGUAAAGCACUUUCAGCGGGGAGGAAGGCGUUAAGGUUAAUAACCUUGGCGAUUGACGUUACCCGCAGAAGAAGCACCGGCUAACUCCGUGCCAGCAGCCGCGGUAAUACGGAGGGUGCAAGCGUUAAUCGGAAUUACUGGGCGUAAAGCGCACGCAGGCGGUCUGUCAAGUCGGAUGUGAAAUCCCCGGGCUCAACCUGGGAACUGCAUUCGAAACUGGCAGGCUAGAGUCUUGUAGAGGGGGGUAGAAUUCCAGGUGUAGCGGUGAAAUGCGUAGAGAUCUGGAGGAAUACCGGUGGCGAAGGCGGCCCCCUGGACAAAGACUGACGCUCAGGUGCGAAAGCGUGGGGAGCAAACAGGAUUAGAUACCCUGGUAGUCCACGCCGUAAACGAUGUCGAUUUGGAGGUUGUGCCCUUGAGGCGUGGCUUCCGGAGCUAACGCGUUAAAUCGACCGCCUGGGGAGUACGGCCGCAAGGUUAAAACUCAAAUGAAUUGACGGGGGCCCGCACAAGCGGUGGAGCAUGUGGUUUAAUUCGAUGCAACGCGAAGAACCUUACCUGGUCUUGACAUCCACAGAACUUAGCAGAGAUGCUUUGGUGCCUUCGGGAACUGUGAGACAGGUGCUGCAUGGCUGUCGUCAGCUCGUGUUGUGAAAUGUUGGGUUAAGUCCCGCAACGAGCGCAACCCUUAUCCUUUGUUGCCAGCGGUCCGGCCGGGAACUCAAAGGAGACUGCCAGUGAUAAACUGGAGGAAGGUGGGGAUGACGUCAAGUCAUCAUGGCCCUUACGACCAGGGCUACACACGUGCUACAAUGGCAUAUACAAAGAGAAGCGACCUCGCGAGAGCAAGCGGACCUCAUAAAGUAUGUCGUAGUCCGGAUUGGAGUCUGCAACUCGACUCCAUGAAGUCGGAAUCGCUAGUAAUCGUAGAUCAGAAUGCUACGGUGAAUACGUUCCCGGGCCUUGUACACACCGCCCGUCACACCAUGGGAGUGGGUUGCAAAAGAAGUAGGUAGCUUAACCUUCGGGAGGGCGCUUACCACUUUGUGAUUCAUGACUGGGGUGAAGUCGUAACAAGGUAACGC
rnacentral:rRNA from 1 species